ensembl:lncRNA
GCAAAGCCCAUCUCGGAGCCCCUUGAGCGCAGGUCUGGGAACUGAACAUCCCAACCACAGCGAACAGAGGAUCAGAAUAGAAGAUUGCUUUUACACAGGGGAUUUUGCAGCAUGAGCUUGGCUUCUGAUGUCCAUCCAAAGCACGCAGGCAGAGAAGGAAUGCUCUGUUUUCAGUCUGCAAUGGAGUCACUGUUUUAAUUUUAGCUCCUCCAGAGCAAAGAUGUAACCAAGCUGUUACCAAAGCAAAGCACCUUAUGGGGGCUGGAAGAGGCAGAAGGACUGAACCUCCCCAUCCAGCAGUGUGUGGUGUUGCAAUGGUGUUAGCCUUGGUCCAAGAAAUGUGGAGCAGACAGCAAAGGUGGCAUGAUCCAAAGCGUCUGCAAAGGGGACGGUGGGGACAAGAAGACAUCAUAUGGCCUUGUGUGGCCGUAGCCAGAAGAUGGAAUGGGGCUAUUCAAUCCCUGCCCAAACCUCCCCUAUUUCAGCAGGUAAAAGUGGAGGGCAGAAAUAAAUCUGUUGGCAAAGAGCUGGGAAUGGCAG